UUUACAAGUACUUGACUGUCUAGGAAUGGCUUUGGCAAUUGGCACAGAGAGAGCAAAUUCUUUAUGGUCAUUGGUAAGCAGUCACAGGCAAAUUGAAUGGUGAAGACUGAAGAAAGAGUACCUUAGAGACGUAUGUUGUGAGGAAUCACGUGGCCUUGAGCCCCAACAAAGAAUAACAUUUUGACAAAGUAGGUACCUUAGUCUAUUCUGUUGCAAUCU
rnacentral:lncRNA from 1 species